AGCGAACGCUGGCGGCAGGCCUAACACAUGCAAGUCGAACGAACUCUUCGGAGUUAGUGGCGGACGGGUGAGUAACACGUGGGAACGUGCCAUUUGGUUCGGAAUAACUCAGGGAAACUUGUGCUAAUACCGAAUGUGCCCUUCGGGGGAAAGAUUUAUCGCCAUUAGAGCGGCCCGCGUCUGAUUAGCUAGUUGGUGAGGUAACGGCUCACCAAGGCGACGAUCAGUAGCUGGUCUGAGAGGAUGACCAGCCACACUGGGACUGAGACACGGCCCAGACUCCUACGGGAGGCAGCAGUGGGGAAUCUUGCGCAAUGGGCGAAAGCCUGACGCAGCCAUGCCGCGUGAAUGAUGAAGGUCUUAGGAUUGUAAAAUUCUUUCACCGGGGACGAUAAUGACGGUACCCGGAGAAGAAGCCCCGGCUAACUUCGUG
rnacentral:rRNA from 1 species